GUGUCUCUAUCAGAGUUUGAUCCUGGCUCAGGAUGAACGCUAGCUACAGGCUUAACACAUGCAAGUCGAGGGGCAGCAUGGGCUUAGCUUGCUAAGCCCGACUGGCGACCGGCGCACGGGUGAGUAACACGUAUCCAACCUGCCGAUCACUCCGGUACAGCCUUUCGAAAGAAAGAUUAAUACCCGAUGUUGCGUAUCUUUCUCCUGAAAGAUACGCCAAAGGAUUCCGGUAACCGAUGGGGAUGCGUUCCAUUAGGCAGUUGGCGGGGUAACGGCCCACCAAACCUUCGAUGGAUAGGGGUUCUGAGAGGAAGGUCCCCCACAUUGGAACUGAGACACGGUCCAA
rnacentral:rRNA from 1 species